rnacentral:rRNA from 1 species
GACGAACGCUGGCGGCGUGCCUAAUACAUGCAAGUCGAACGCUUCUUUCCUCCCGAGUGCUUGCACUCAAUUGGAAAGAGGAGUGGCGGACGGGUGAGUAACACGUGGGUAACCUACCCAUCAGAGGGGGAUGACACUUGGAAACAGGUGCUAAUACCGCAUAACAGUUUAUGCCGCAUGGCAUAAGAGUGAAAGGCGCUUUCGGGUGUCGCUGAUGGAUGGACCCGCGGUGCAUUAGCUAGUUGGGGAGGUAACGGCUCACCAAGGCCACGAUGCAUAGCCGACCUGAGAGGGUGAUCGGCCACACUGGAACUGAGACACGGCCCAGACUCCUACGGGAGGCAGCAGUAGGGAAUCUUCGGCAAUGGACGAAAGUCUGACCGAGCAACGCCGCGUGAGUGAAGAAGGUUUUCGGAUCGUAAAACUCUGUUGUUAGAGAAGAACAAGGACGUUAGUAACUGAACGUCCCCUGACGGUAUCUAACCAGAAAGCCACGGCUAACUACGUG